rnacentral:lncRNA from 1 species
UAAACAUGUGUAGAUGCACUCUUUGACUUUGGAAUUUUCAAAAUGGCUGCCGCUCGCCUGGCAAUGGGGGAAGGGUGCCAUCCGCUAUUGCUUGCAAUGGCAAAUCUAGUUAUUAUUAUUUUUUUUCUUGCAACAAAUUUUGUCCAGGUGAUUUCUCGAAAUCCAAUGGACCAAUGUUGAUGGAACUCUACUAUAGUAAGGACCCCCAGGUGCAGAGUUGCAGGAAGCAUGGAAUGGUUCAAGAUGGCUACCGUUUCCAUGGAAACAGAACAAAUGUGAAAAAAUCCAGUUUUUUGUUUUGGUGAACUGUUUGGAUAUGCUUUAACUCAGAAUCAUUAUAUUUUAAUACAAUGUAGGUGCCCACUAUAUACAGGUGUUGGAUGAUUUUGGCACUCAUUGGAACUACUAUGUUGCCAUGGAAACUACACCAAAAAUUUCAAAAAUAUCAAAAUGCUCCAAACUUCAUGAAACUUCACAGUAACGAUGAGCAACAUUGGAAGAUGUGGAAUUUGGCGUUGGAAUUUCCAAAAUAUCUGUUGUUACCAUGGAAACAAUGCAAAAAGGUCAAAACUUUGAAUUUUCACAGAACAUUCCAGAACAUCAAUGUUAAAUUUAUUCUAGAGACAUUAAAUGGUAUAUGAUGGUAUAUAUGAUUAUGGAGGGAAAAAAUUGCAGCGGGGGUUUGACUUUGGAAUAUUCAAAAUGGCCGCCGUUACCAUGGAAACAGCAAAAAUAUGAAAAACUUCAAAAUGCUUUAAAUUUAAUGAAACUUAUAACAAAUGUUGCCUAGCUUAUGUAGACUUAACUUUUGAGUUUCGAAUUUUCAAAAUGGCCGCCGUUACCAUGGAAACAGCAAAAAUACGAAAAACUUCAAAAUGCUUCAAAUUUAUUGAAACUUAUAACAAAUGUUGCUUAGCUAAUGUAGACUUGACUUUUGAGUUUGGAAUUUCCAAAAUGGCCGCCGUUACCAUGGAAAUUUCAAAAAUUUCAAAAUGCUCCAAAAUCGAUGAAACUUUACGACAAUGUGAAUAGACA